CACUUAGAUGUUCUGGGUCGCACGCGCGCUACACUGAUGAAUGCAACGAGCUCUACCCUUGACCGAAAGGCCCGGGUAAACUUGUGAAACUUCAUCGUGAUGGGGAUAGAUUAUUGCAAUUAUUAAUCUUCAACGAGGAAUUCCUAGUAAGCGCGAGUCAUCAGCUCGCGUUGAUUACGUCCCUGCCCUUUGUACACACCGCCCGUCGCUCCUACCGAUUGAAUGGUCCGGUGAAAUCUUCGGAUUGCUGACCAAGAUCCAGCAAUGGAGCUUGGUUGCGAGAAGUUGAUUAAACCUUAUUAUUUAGAGGAAGGAGAAGUCGUAACA
rnacentral:rRNA from 1 species